GCACCCCGCUCCGUCCUCGCCUCGCGGCUCCCCUCCCGUAACCCUACCCCCUCCUCUCCUCUGCGCCGCCGCCGCCGCCGUCGCCAGUCCUCCUCCCCUCACACCGCGCCCGCACGGCCCUGCUACGCCGCUGCCGCUCGCCCUUUGGGUGAGAAACCUAGCCGGCUCCACUCGCGCGCCUCCCUCCCUCCCAGUCCUUCCUCUCUCCCAUCGCAGUCGCCACCUACCGCUCGCGCCGCCGCAUCCCCGUCGAGGUCGUGCAUCACAUCUUCGUGAGUUGAGGAAGCUGGCGCUGCUCUUCCCGGAGGAGCGCGCUGUCGCACCGUCAACGGGAGAAGGUCAGGCGGAGCGCACCGUCGCCGCUGGCUGGCGCGUCGACGGGAGGAGGCCAGGCAGUCCGCGCCGUCACCUGCUCGUGCUCCUCGCUGGUGUGCGCAGCCACGCCUGCUCCACCCGAGCUCGUGCACGCCGACCACCCCCGGUCCUGACCUAGGGUUUGUGGUGGGGUGAGCUUGCAGCCAUCCGCUUCGGUGGCCCACCAGCCGCGCAGCAUCCACACCCAGACGGGAAGAGCACAUGUCGUCGUUGUUCUAUCAGGAGGAGAGCACCGUCACCAUCACCCAACCGUCCUCCCCCCCUGAUUGUUUCAGAUUGGAAGUGGCUUGCACACAUAAAUCCAAGCAAGUUGACGGGAGGAUUCAUCUGUGCAUUUGAGCUACAGGGAGACUCCUGCAGCAGUUGGGCUCUGGUACGGCAAGUUCUGCAAUGCGGGGUGGAGCGGCUAUGGAGGGAGGACCCCUGCGAUGACCUCGAUGCCUGCUGCAGCGACCAUGACCACUGCAUCAAAAAGGAAGGUACUAACUAAGCUACAUACAUAUUCCUAGCUUCGGGAAGAAAGGACUAGAUCGGUCAACACGGGCUUCCCUGAACAACCAUACAUCAUGUUGCGUUAUUUUGACAUGCGAAUUCAAUUGCUAGCAAUGAUUGAUGGGCUGAGCCAGCAGUGACUUUUGUGACUAGAAAGUUUCAGACUUUUUAGUCUCUGCUUGCUCUAUUCUGUUCUUUCAUUUACAACCACUAUUUGAACAGCUCUGCAUGAUAGGUAUAACAAGUUGUGUUGUCGUCUUAUUCUCGAAUAACUAGCUGCAACUGCAUUUGUGUUGCGUUGUGGCGUGAUCAUUGGAUGGUGGAUUAGCACCAGUGCCUAACUAUGUUCCUAGAAUGUAAAAUUUGGAUAAGCAUAGUUCACUUUUGUAUCUCAGCCUAGAUUGAUUGAAAUAAUUGCUUGCAAAAACUUAUAUGGUAGGAAACUAAAAACUAGAUAAGAUAUGUAGAUGCAAUCUUUUGUUUCCUGUAUAGGAUAAUUUGUUUAUCUAUUUAUUUGAUCCUUACCGUCGGUUGUCCAUGAUGGAAUGGAAGUUAAAGUUAGCAUCUAAACUGAUGGAAUGGAAGUUAAAGUUAGCAUGUAAACUGAUUAAUUAAUGAAUAUUUCUAUCUCCACUAUUCUGUUGUGUGGGCAAUUUCUUGCCAUUGGUCCAUUAUAACCCUUAUUAGAUAUGCUGCAACAUGCUCCUAUCUGAAAUUGAUGAUUCCUAUUUUUUGUUGAAAAUUACUUGUCUAUUUUGCAUCUAGAAUUUUAGUUUAGAUAAGGUUACUCUCAGGAAAAACUAGGCAGCAGGAGGAAAAGGUAUGCCCCGAAGGCCAACUCUGCCUCUUAUAUCUUUAUUAGUAUUUUUAUGUGUUUUGCUACACAGCCGUGUGUUGAUUAGUGCGUACAUAACUCACCCUGAUCGUUCGAUUGAACAUGGCUACUACACCUGAAUUGCAGAGCUGGCUGGGUUUUUUUGAUUAAUUAUAUGGUGAUGCCGUCAUGAGCUCAAGGGUUUGCGGUUGUUUUGUAGGCAGCGGCUCAAAAUUCAGAAACAACAAAAAAACAUUAGGUUGAUUCAGCAGACGAAAAAAUUAGGAAUAGGAUCUUCAUAUCUAUGUUUACUCGAAAAAAAAUUAGGUAUACUAGCUAGCUAACUGUAUCUCUCAGUCUCAUGAUUAUCCUGUAGCUAAGUCUCUUCCAUGUGCAUAUUCUAUGUUAGUGCAUAACCUGUUAGCUGCUUAUUUACUCUUUGUUUUAAUUGGUUAGAAAAAGCACUACAUGAUCAUGGUUCUGAUUGUACACCUUUUUAGCUAAUGGUGUCCUUAAGCAUGUGGUUGCCACUGAGACGCUAAGAGAUGCCGCAGAUAAUUAAACUAAUCAAGGCACAAUUUUUUGACCACAGAUCAAGCUUAUCUCUUCUGCAGAGAAAAAUAAUGCAGGGGAAAAAGCAUGGCGUGCCACCAGCUCAUCUAUGAGAAUUGUUUAUUUAGCUUUGCGUAAUUAUUGCAAGCAACAAUUAUUUGAUUAUUAUUCUGUUUUCGUGCAUUUUUCUAAGAUUGUCGUUAACCACCUUUAGAAAUAACUCAUGCAUUUUAUAAUAGUAUGACUGAAUGAUUUUUAACAAAGACAAUUUCUGAACCCUGUUAUCAUAGAAUGGUUAUUGUGAACAAAAUACCAAUCCUUUUCUUCAUUUUCUCUAUCAAUGUGUUGCCGUUUCAUCAUACCCUCGGUUUCAUCUUUACAUGCCUCUUACCUAUCUAUGUGUUACAGCUUGUAUGUCAUUUGUAUUUUAUUUCUACUGUAUUCUAUAAUCUGAUGCAAUUAUGCAAAACCAUAGAAGAUUCUGACAGACUAAGUGGUUCUUAAUUCUCUGUUCGAGGAAAUUUAGAAUGAAGGCCAAACCGGCUAAGUGGAAAGCAAAGUGGUAGAUAAAAUUGGAAAUCUGCUUGAGAUGGACAAGGUUGCAUUUCUGCCUUCCAAAAUUCGCUCUUCCAGAUCACUAAAGGUGCAAAAGUUGAUCCAAGAGCGACUCUGGCACCUCACAACCUGCUAACUAAUGCAUUAUUGAUAUGUAUAUUCUCCAUUAAAAUUUUGUGUGUUCUGCGCUAUUGUCACCUCUUUUCUGUGAUAUAUAACAGUGCCUAGAAUAUAAUUGGUUAUGUUCCUAUAUUUAACUUCACUCUAGGUUGGCAAAAAUUCAUAUUCUGUUCAAAAGCAUGUCAUCAAUAGUCAAAUGCUUCAGAACAGAAUGUGUUGUUUUAUUUUUUAUUUCUAUCAUAUAUAUUCUGCUUUGUUCUACAUAUGUAUGAUUUAUACUGGGGCAUAUGUAUAUCAUGCUUGCACCUUAAUCUUUCCUUGAGAAAUACCAGAGGAUGGGUCACUACUAUAGAUAGGUACCGUGCGCCAAGGCACACUCCAUCAUGUUAGUCUAUGCCCCCUUCCUCGGGUUCUGGAUUCUUGGCAUGCCUAUUGUUGUGCUCAGGCUGAUGAGGCAUCCUUGCAUUAAUGGAUUGAGAAUCAAAGGUAUAGCCCUUUUCAUAACAUUGGCUCUAUUUUUCUCUCAGUUUUUGGGCUUCGAUCUAUUUUCAAUGCUGGUCUAAUGGGAACAAAUAAUUUUGCCAAAAGGGGCAUAUGAAAUAGAUGUUUAGGCAUACAAAAUGAGUAAUGAAGUCAAUUCAAAUUUGUCAUGACAUGAUUAAUGGAUGAUAAACCUUUGACACAAACUAAGUUAUCAAAUUUGUCUUAAAAAAUGUUCAUAUCAAGCAUACAACAUUCAGGUUAGAUGCAUUGAGUUUAUGUUAGUGUAUCAAAACUGUUCAAAUUUUUGACAAAAACUUCAGUACCAUCCAGAGGGAAUAAGCACUUCCCUUUAUAUAGUACAGAGUGUUAAUCAGUAUUAAAGGAGUGACCGUGACAGUGACAGUGUCACUCCAUAUAUUACUAUGCCACACUGGGAAUAGAGAAAUAGAGCAAACUUAUUAAUUCCAAGAUAUGCCGCCACAUAGGGAUGACGCAGACACGCAGUACUACAGCUUCCCUAAAGUAUUGAAUGCAGACUAUACCCUUAUGUGAAGUCUUCCAACCUUGCAGUGUUGUUUUAUUUUAUAAAGGCAUCAUCAUGGACGAUUACAGUUACAUUGCCUCCUUCAAAUUGAUAUCCAUCAACCAGUUAAGAACUCCCUGUUUUGCCACAUAAUAUCAAGUGAAGGUUGUACUCCCAAACUAAUUAGUGUGUUUGGGUUGGUAGAUACCGUUCAUUGAUCCCUAGACUUUUGACCAAUUUAUGUUCACGACAUCUUCCGUGUAUUCCAUUUCUCAUGAUUUACGAUUCUCAGUUCUGCCAGCUCUGUGGAGACAUGGAACCAAAGCCGUGAGGCAGACAUCAUCAUUUUGUUAGACCAAGUGUGGAGUUGCAAGUUAAUCCAUGAGCUACAAACAUUUGAUUUUGCUCCCUGGUUCAUUCAGUAGGUUUAGUUCCAAGAAUAGUAUUUUCUUUCUUUGAUUACCGUAUAGAGAAGAGUAACUAAGAGACCCGCUUGCCUCGCGGAUUCCCUCUGGGGAGGUCAUUCCCUCUAUUUGCUUGUGUUUUUUUGUGUUGUCAUGCAGAUUCAGGCAAUUUUUUACCCAGACUAAGCAAACAGAACACAAAAAUACACAAGCAAAUAUAUCAAUGUUCUCAUUCUCCUGCCCAUGAUUCAGGAUCUCAUUGCCUCUGUUUGCUUGUGUUUUUUGUGUUACCAUGCAGAUCACAGGUUGAAUGUAUGAAUAUCUAAGCGGACUACUUAAUCUAUUUACUGAAGCAAGACAUGUUUAUAUGUCUAAAUGUCUCGCGUUGAGAGAGAAAAAAUAGCGUAUGUCGAUCUGGACAAUAUAUAUAUGUUGCUUACAUGUUUAUCCUUCAGAGUAUUCCAAACCCCAGUUCUAUGUCUUUUUCUUGAAACUAUUGUUUUGUUGAUUCAAAUUAUUUAAUGAACUAUGUUUUUUUAA